AUGUAAUGCCUACAAUGUUAAUGUAUUGAAUCACAUUAGAACUCUGUAGUUAAGAGCACUUGGGAUAGACUAGUACUACGAUGGGUGACCUCCCGGGAAUUCCUAGUGUUUUACAUG
rnacentral:rRNA from 1 species